AGAGUUUGAUCCUGGCUCAGGAUGAACGCUAGCUACAGGCUUAACACAUGCAAGUCGAGGGGCAGCACAGUGUAGCAAUACAUGGGUGGCGACCGGCGCACGGGUGCGUAACGCGUAUCCAACCUGCCCUCUACUCCGGAACAGCCCGUCGAAAGGCGGAUUAAUGCCGGAUGGUGUCACAUGCCCGCAUGAGUGUGUGACUAAAGGCAACGGUAGAGGAUGGGGAUGCGACUGAUUAGCUUGUUGGCGGGGUAACGGCCCACCAAGGCUACGAUCAGUAGGGGUUCUGAGAGGAAGGUCCCCCACAUUGGAACUGAGACACGGUCCAAACUCCUACGGGAGGCAGCAGUGAGGAAUAUUGGUCAAUGGGCGAGAGCCUGAACCAGCCAAGUAGCGUGCGGGACGACGGCCCUAUGGGUUGUAAACCGCUUUUGAUUGGGAACAAAGAGCGCCACGUGUGGUGCGUUGCGUGUACCUUUCGAAUAAGCAUCGGCUAAUUCCGUGCCAGCAGCCGCGGUAAUACGGAGGAUGCGAGCGUUAUCCGGAAUUAUUGGGUUUAAAGGGUGCGUAGGCUGUUUGUUAAGUCAGGGGUGAAAUACCGCAGCUCAACUGUGGAAUUGCCUUUGAUACUAGCAGGCUUGAAUACUGUUGCCGUGGGAGGAAUGAGUAGUGUAGCGGUGAAAUGCAUAGAUAUUACUCAGAACACCGAUUGCGAAGGCAUCUCACGAAGCAGGCAUUGACGCUGAGGCACGAAAGCGUGGGGAUCAAACAGGAUUAGAUACCCUGGUAGUCCACGCAGUAAACGAUGAUAACUAACCGUUGGCGAUAGACAGUCAGUGGCCAAGCGAAAGCGAUAAGUUAUCCACCUGGGGAGUACGACCGCAAGGUUGAAACUCAAAGGAAUUGACGGGGGCCCGCACAAGCGGAGGAACAUGUGGUUUAAUUCGAUGAUACGCGAGGAACCUUACCCGGGCUCGAACGGUAUGUGAACGACUCAGAGAUGAGGAGGUCCUUCGGGACACAUAUCGAGGUGCUGCAUGGUUGUCGUCAGCUCGUGUCGUGAGAUGUUGGCUUAAGUGCCAUAACGAGCGCAACCCUUGUCGUUAGUUACCAUCAAGUAAAGUUGGGGACUCUAACGAGACUGCCACCGCAAGGUGAGAGGAAGGCGGGGAUGACGUCAAAUCAGCACGGCCCUUACGUCCGGGGCGACACACGUGUUACAAUGGCGGUCACAGAGGGAAGCUACCCUGCGAAGGGAUGCAGAUCUCGAAAAGCCGUCUCAGUUCGGACUGGAGUCUGCAACUCGACUCCACGAAGCUGGAUUCGCUAGUAAUCGCGCAUCAGCCAUGGCGCGGUGAAUACGUUCCCGGGCCUUGUACACACCGCCCGU
rnacentral:rRNA from 1 species